AUAAAAAGCCCGUUUCCUGCCUGCAUCAACAGUUCAUCCUGCAGCCUCCUGUAGACACGACACAUUCUGAUUCUACGCGAUGUUGCGCCUUCGCCUCGUUGUCCUUCUCGCUGCCUGCGUCGUGGCAGCCAUGGCGAGCCACAAGUGCUCUCGUUACUGCCAGACUCCUGCCAAGACUCACGUGUGCUGUGAUCCCCCGCCUCCCCCCCGCUGCCCCAACCCCGCUCCCUGCUACGACUUCUUCGACGGCAACUUCCCCUACUGCUACUGACCAGUGUCCACCGGGCCAGAAAUGCUGCACAGACGGCUGUUCCCAAAGGAAAAUUUGUGUGCCCGUCUGAGUCAUGCCCCAGCAUGGCGCAUGACACGACCGACUGUUGAAGAACUGCGUGCAUGACUAUUUUUCUCUUUCUACCUUUUGCUUUUCAUUCUCUUUGUCAUUUCCUCCUGUGAUGUCACGAAGAACUAUCUUCUGUUUAACAUCUCAUCUCUGAAAUGCACAAGUGGCAUUUGAGCAAUAAACUUUG